CCCGGCUGCUCUUCAGACCUGGUGAUCUUGCUUAUAGAGCCUGGGCAAAGUUCUCUGAAUGGGCCAGUGAGGAACCAGCUCCAAGCUUACACUAGGGACCUCUGGAUAUUCCCAAGAUCUCUGUGGUAUGUUUUCAAUGCAGCAACUUCAGCUUGCUCUGCUGGAGUUCCACAAGCUAGGCAGCUCAUUAAGAAGAAACACCUUGGACACAUUGUACUUAAUAGCAUCCUUCUGAGCUGAGCAAAAGAUCCACUUAUUAUCAGGUAUCCCUCAGGAUAGAGGCAGUGUGGAGAGUUCUACCCAACAGCUUGGCGGAAAACAGAAGUGAUAUAUAGAAAGAACCUGCUUGGAUACAGGGUGUUUUUUUUCUACAUUGGGGGGAAAAAAAAGCUCCCCGUAAAACAGUAAGCCAUGUUAGCUUUGCAGCAGCCUCCCAUGUCUCCUCUGUCACACAUCUCUGGGUUGCAACGGUCCCACCGUGCUCGAUUUCAUCUCAUAUUGUUCACCAGGACCUCGAAACCCAUGCUAAUGUCACCAUCAAGAGACCAAAAGGAAUCCUAGACUUGGAAACAGAAUUAAAAGCAGUAAGGACUAUGGAGGUGGGAAAUCAGAAAUGGUUACUGAGUGCCAGUCAGUCGUGUCCCAUUUGCUCAAAGCUAUCAUCUU
rnacentral:lncRNA from 1 species